GUGAGUUUGUAGCCCAGCUGUCUCCCCCAAGCCCCGCUGGCAGGAAUGGAAACCCAAGCUCUCUCGUAAUGCAGGGGAUGAUGCAAACUUAGAAACUGACCCGGCGCCCGGGAAUGAGGCCCCCCCGCCCCGGGCGUGCGGCGGCCCAGUCGGGGCAUGAAUGGCUGGAGCCCGAUUGCAUAAUCCGCGCGGUAUAAAUAGCCGGCGGGCGGGCCGCUGACGCGCUCGGUUGUGCCGUUAUCGUGCAAUGCUUCAUCCCCGGUGCCGUUCAAUCCCAGGUCGUUUUCCCUUUCAGCUGCAAUGCCGGGAUUUUAAAUAGCAGAGAUGAAAGGCCCCUGCCCCCGCCUCCCUCCUCCCCUGAGUUCAUGUAUUAUGAAUGAAACGGCAGCCUCGCUGCUUCCUGAGGUGCUCCACUUCAGGCUGGGGUGCAAUGGCUCGAUCUCGGCUCAGUGCAACCUCUGCUUCCCGGGUUCAAGUGAUUCUCCUGCGUCAGCCUCCCAAGCAGCUGUGAAUACAGGUUGGAGUGCAGUGGUGCUGUGUCUGGAGUUUGUUCCUGCCGUUGGGUUUGUGGUCUUGCUGACUUCAAGAAUGAAGCCACGGACCUUCACGUCCAUCGCCUUGGCUUAGUGCAUGUCACCAAAAAUUCUCCAGGAAUUUCAUAGUUUGGACCUUGGUGGCAUGGCUGGCCCUGGAUUAUCCAUGCAGGGAGGCCUGAUCCUGUGACAGCUGGCUGCAGCAGGGGGCUGCCCAUCUUCUGUGCUUUGUGGUACAUAUCUGUGUCACCAAAGUAGCGGCCUCGGUACAGCAAGCCUUUCAUCUGCUGCUUCUCCGUCCAGCAGUUGUUCCAGAGGUUGGCGAUAUAAUCAUCUUUCACAUUCGGUUUGACUGUUUGGAGGCUGGAGCCUGUGUACUCCUCGGAGAAAAUGCCUGCCACAUAGUAGAUGACACUCAGGUGGUCAGUGACUCGCCUGUGAUGUGGCCCACAAACAGUCUUGGGCUCAGACUGUAGGGUGGACUGGAGACCAUGAGCUGGCUGAGAGCUGACAUGAGGAUGAGGAUGGGUAUCAGCUGCACGAACACCCGCAAGCUGCCGUCACUCCGCUUCUCCCUGCAGCCCUGCCUUUGCUGCCAUCAUAAUGUGAAGAAGCCGAAGCAGCCUGUGAAGAGGCGCUAGUGGAAAGGAACUCAGGUGCCCCUGCCCUCAGUCCCAGCUGAACUCUCAGCUGACAGCCAUCACCAACUUGCCAGCCACAGGAGUGAGCCAACUUGAGAGUGGAUCUUUCAGUCCCAGUGGAGCCAUCUCAGCUGACACACCAUGAUACACACACAGGCACAUUGGAAACGCAGUAGAAAAUGGCUGCCAAUUUAAAACCAGAAGUUAAGAAGAGCAAACUCGAAUGUACAGCAAGAGAGCUUCAGGCUGGACUGGCUUCCAGCAGAAGUGGGACUGGAAACCUCGGAUUCUAUUGUCUCUUCUCUGUGAAGUGGGAAAACAUAGUGAACCCAGAGCACAUGGCUUUCCACCCGGACUGGUUGGUUACUGCUGCCCUAUUCUUUGAUGGAGAUAAACAAACAAACAAACAAACCUGAUUGCAAUGGUGCUUUGGAACCCCUAGAUCCUGAACUCCUUUGGGAGAGAUCUGAGAGUGGGAGCAGGGCCUUCUGCAGCCAAGUUAGCCUCCCAGGCUGGCUAAUAGCUGUAAUGUAUAUUAGUUCUCUUAGCUCCUGCACUGUUCCCAUCAUCUUCCAUGUAGAAAAUAAAACAUGGCUUCUUAUAAGUCAAUGGCAACCAGAUGCUUGAGAAUAAAGCAAGCAAGGGAACAGAGAAGGAAAUCAGGGAGAACCUUGGCAUUUACCCAGGGAAACAUCCUAAUGUGUACCGUGGCAGGGCGUGGUAAAGAACCUAGAAACAUGUCAGUCAGUAGAAGGUGUGUUGGCCCCCGGAAAGCCAAGCAUUUGUCUGAUGAAGCAUAGAGUGAAUUCUGGCUUAUAUGUUUCAUCACUUGGCUGGGUCCUUCGUCAGAUGAAAAGGUAGCAGCUGAGAGCAUUAGCAGAAACAAUUGACGGGCUAAGCUCUCUGUGAGAGCAGCAGACUCAAUCGAGGAGGGCUGGAAGCCCAGGCGUGGGCUGUCAUGAGAAGUCCACUUGCAGCAGUGGCAGUGAUCCUCAUAAACACGGGCCCACCGUGCUCAGAGCCCCAUUUUCCCACUGACAUUGGCCAAGAUGCAUCCUGGCUGUGUGCAGACCCCAGAGAGAACUGCCCGAUAGUGGCAACACUGGCACAGUGGCCAGCCAAGGAGGGAAAAGCAAAGCAAAGAGGACUGAGGCAAAGCAAAGAGGACUGAAGAUAUGAAGACCCGUAUCUCUGCUGAGAAGAGCUCAUCAUAGAACAAGGACAAAUGGCCAGCAAGAUGCCAUGCCUGAAAAUAUUCAAACAUCAAGUCCCACUUCCUGGUCUUACCUAUGUCAUCGGAAGUGUGUAGAUUCUAGGCUGGAGAGCUACUUUUUUUCAAUAGGUGGAAACAAAAAUUCAUGAAGCAUCCUGAAAUUAUUGCUGAAUUCAGGGAUGAGGGCAGCUUCGAUUUCUUCUCUGAACUUGGAAUUGUUUGCUAGAUUUUGCAGGCUUGACUCCAGCAGUGCAGUUGUAGAAACAAGCCAGCAGCAGCAGCCACACCUAAGCUGGGUUGCGCCUUCCUGGGAGGUGUCCCUGCCAAGAUGGGAAAACCUGAGAUGCUCCCCAGUGGAUGCAAAUAUGUGGGA
rnacentral:lncRNA from 10 species